rnacentral:rRNA from 1 species
GACGAACGCUGGCGGCGUGCUUAACACAUGCAAGUCGAACGAAGUGGCGGACGGGUGAGUAAUGCGUAAUUAACCUGCCCUUCGGUGGGGGACAACAGUUGGAAACGACUGCUAAUACCGCAUACUGAUGGAGGGGUUUGCGUGGGAUUAGCUAGUUGGAGGGGUAACGUCCCACCAAGGCGAGUAUCAGUAGCCGGGCUGGGAGGAUGAGCAGCCACACUGGGACUGGGACACGGCCCAGACUCCUACGGGAGGCAGCAGUGGGGAAUCUUCCGCAAUGGAGGAAAGUCUGAAGGAGCAAAGCCGCGUGAGUGAUGACGGCCUUCGGGUUGUAAAGCUCUGUUAAUCGGGACGCGGUACCGGAAUAGAAAGCCACGGCUAACUACGUGCCAGCCGCCGCGGUAAUUC